rnacentral:rRNA from 1 species
ACUCUAUCGGUAGGCAGGCAGUGGUGAAUUGAUUGCACAAUGGGAAGGCCAUCGAUGAUGCCAUGCCGAUGCGUGUGAUGUAGGCAGAUCGGGCUUGGUUAAUGACGCACUUUCAGUAGGGAGGAAGGUAGUGUAGUUAACACCUGCAUUAUUUGACGUUACCUACAGAAGAAGCACCGGCUAACUCCGUGCCAGCAGCCGCGGUAAUACGGAGGGUGCGAGCGUUAAUCGGAAUUACUGGGCGUAAAGCGCAUGCAGGUGGUUUGUUAAGUCAGAUGUGAAAGCCCGGGCUC